GUUUUUGUGGGUAAUGAAGGCGUGCAAAAGUUUCCUCAGGCAGGACGGAAAUUAGCCCUCGAGUGCAAAGGUAAAAGGGAGCUUGACUGCAAGACCCACCUGUCAAGCAAGAACGAAAGUCGGCCUUAGUGAUUCGACAGUGUCGAGUGGAAAGGUUAUUAUUCAAC
rfam:Gossypium raimondii chromosome 4, whole genome shotgun sequence.